AUGUUUUCAUUUACAGUUGAAAAAAAGGCAAAAAAAAAAAGAGAAGGGAGAGAGUUUAUCUUCCCUUAUACAGCCUGCAAAUGGGGGCAAAUGUGGGGGGGGGGGGUAAAGCUUGCAUCCCAUUGGCUGUUGGAGGGGACCAUGAUAACAAUGUGACCUCAAAGCGGCAACACUGCGAUAAGGCAAUUUGAGCACAUUCACAUGUUCUUCCCCCACCCUCACAGAGUUACAGCAGUGGAUGCGAUUCUACUGAUGGGUGGGUCAGAAGUCUUCUGGGGCAUCGACGUUCACACAGGGAUCAACUUGCAACCUUGCGUCAUCAUCCCCCAGUGCGAAGUGGGAUAUCCAUCCCCGAGUUUGGUCAUGCUCUGACAAGUUACCUGCUUUCAUACUGGUGUCAGAAUUAAGAUGACUCAGAUAUGGUAAA